rnacentral:lncRNA from 1 species
AAUCAUUUUCAUCAUGCAUUCAUGUCAUGUUUCAAAAUAUUGCUCACAGAUAUUCGUGCUAAGGUCACUAUUAUACCCGUGACAGGGCCAUAUUUCUUAAUCGACAGAGUUCUUAAUUCAUGUGCCAACUUUAUACCCACUGGAAGGGCCAUGUUUCGUGUAGAUGCUAGCUCCGGAUGUCGAUCUUCCCGAAGGGAUUCAUUCGUAGCCAUCUGAGAGCCUUUGAAAUCAUUAUAUCUUUUUCUUAAAGCAUACAUAUACAUAAAUGAAAAAACAAUGAAAUUCAUGCUUCAUAAUCAUGCUAUUUUCAUAAGACAUAUUCAUGAAAUCAAUGCUUACAAUAAAACAUGCUUUUUCAUAUCACAUAUGCCGAUCCUUAUUUUAUGAAAAAUUAUGAUUUCAUCAAUAGCAAUUCUUUACAUAAAAGCAUGAUCAUUUAAAAAUAAAUAAGGAGCAUAAAAUCCACUUAUCUCUUUCAUCUUAGAUCUUCAGACUUCGUUAGAAGAAUCAGCUAAUCCUAUUUAAAAUAUCAAAUCAUCGUCAAUUUCUAUUCCAUGAAUAUAAUAAGAUUAAAUCAUAAGGAAAGAGAACUGUUGACCGGAUGUGUCGGACCAUCCAGAUACUAGGACAAAUUCAGGGUCUCUGAUCUGAGGGUCAGAUUCAAGUGACUUGAUCAAGAAAUCGUGAAGCAUAGAUCGAAUUAAAGUCAAAAUCAAUCAAUAGGGUUCUUUAAUAAUGAAUUUGAAAGAUCUUUGAUACGAUCAAAUGAGGUUGACAUACAGCACGGAUAUCAAAAUAAUUUCGGAUCAUCUUGUUAGAGUCAAUAUGAGCCUCUAAAAGAUGAAGGCAUGAUUCGAUACAGGAUUCAUAGAUCUUUUUAGAGAGAGAAAGUCGGUCAUGAGAGAGAAAGUAGAGAGAGAAAGUGGAGAGAGAAUCUUCGUAUCCUUCAAAAGUGACAAUCAUGAUUGAGAUCAUCAGAGGUUAUAUCAGAAUAACUUAAUAUGGAUUAACCAUGAUCGAUGUUAUCAAUUUCGAAAA